ensembl:lncRNA PNISR-AS1 PNISR antisense RNA 1
GCACGCGCAGUGUUUAACGGCCGGUCAGGAACCCAACAAUUAGUCCCUUCUCGUCCGAGAGGAAACUCUGUGAGAAGAUGGGACCGUGAGCACUCUCUUUAACAAGGACAUUUCCUUUUCAGCGAAAGCAGCGCUCUGAUUUACCAAGUCUGGCGGACCGCAGCGCUUUAAAGGAAUGAGGUUCCAGCGGUCGCGCCAAGCAGCGUACGCAGCCUAUUUUAAGUUAUGCUACCUUCGCCACAGAAACCAAGAACGUUGUAAUGGUCCGGCAAGUGCCCACGUAUAAUUGUUCUCCAUCACUUACCCACUCUAGUUCGGGAACACCCUUGUCGCCGCCGUUCCGGUAACACCUCUCCAACGCUUUCGAUGCUUCUACUUCUUCGGGAACAAGACAAGAUGGCGCCCGAUUUGUCUCACCCGGAAGUAAAGAAUAAUAACAUCCGUUUGUCAUCUGAAGCCAUACCAUCUCUCAUCCAGGUUUGUGAACACGUGAUUGUGCGGAUUGACAUGUUUCGGCGCCAUUUUUUUUGUGGGCAAAACCAUCUCUACUCUGGUCAACACCGGGCAACUGAACCAUUCCUGCACGUUACUUUUUAACGUAGCUGGCGCCAUUCCCGACCCAUCUUUAUAGUGGCCAGAAAGCCAAGAACGUAAGUGUUCUACACAUAGGGCGCCUUCAAAUUUUUUACUUUAGCAACGUGAUCUUCCUUUAAGGGGAAGUAUGUUCCCUCCUAGAAACACUCCCGCCUUGGAGAAGGGGUUGAGUUCGCAACUCCACUUACAGACUACGGAGGAACCCCAGGGUCAAACCAAACCAAACCAAUUCUGGCCAGUUGCUUAGCGCAGUUCAAGUUACUUAGUGCGCUGGAAGCGGCAUUUCAGGCAAUCCAACUUCUGGCUCGAACCUUCUCGGAGUAUUCCAAGGAUGGAAUACUCUCACUUGAGCGCUGCCGAGGGUGCCGCUUGAGGAAAACGUGAGUUUGUGAAGGUGAGCAGUCUGGGUCGGUAGCGAAAGCGGAGACCUUAGCUGACCCCGCAGCUGUCUUUCUCUUUGUUAACCUCAACACAUCGCGCCCCCUUCCGGGAACACUUGCUCUUCUCUCCUUGGCUUAACUAGUCCCGGUUUUUCAUUCUUUAUCCGUGACUUUUAGGGAACCGUGGGGGGGAAGUCUGGUUUCCGUCCUGCUGCUUUCCUUCAACUACAAGAUGGCUUCUCAAAAGGACGCAUGCAAUGCCAUUCCUCAAAGACAGUAUGUUGAUUUCACAGUGUUUUUAUAUGAACAACGUUCAAGUGUCAAAAGUAUCAAUUUCCAGGCUAGGAGCUACAAGUUAAAAGGAAAACAAAAAUGUUCCAAAGAUACAGUGUUUAUUAGCUACAUCUUGGGAAGUGCCUUUCCAGAGAGUAACAUGAAAACUUCUGCGUGACAAAGUGCACGAAGUAUCUGAAUUAUUUCAUUGGGCAAUUGUCGUGCAAAAGAAAUAGCAAAUUACCGUAGAAACAAAAUAGUAAGAGCACAGCUAGAUGGAUAAAGAUACAGAUGUGAAAAUAUAGAUGCCCUUUGCAUGAAAAUUCAGUUUUCCUCAGCACUAGAGACCCAGAUACUCCUGAAUUAGCAUUAUAAUAAAGUCGUCACUAGCUAACCA